rnacentral:lncRNA from 1 species
ACGACUCGAAAGUUAUUCGCGGUCAAUAGCGCCCUCAAUAGGGAGUCACUUCGUGAAAUUACAUCACGCGAACGAACACUGAAUCGUGAACGGAUUAAUAUUAUAUUUACGUUUAGGACCAAAAAAGCAAGAGCGCAGAGAUCUACAUCUCAGCACAGCAGAUCCUCAACUAUGGCUUUGGGAAAGAAAGUGGCAGACAUUGGCUACAAGACCUUCACAGUCAGCAUGUUGGCGCUCACCGGCUACGGAGGAUUCCUCUGUGUCAGACGAAUCACCAACUUCAUUAGAUCCAGGAACGCGACCGCAAACACUGCUAUCGAAACGCCGCCAAAAAUCACCGCAGAGACCAAGCAAUGAUGAUGUCCUGACGGACUGACUAAUGUCCAGAGCCCCAGGAACAUGAGUGAUACUUCCCCAACCUUGAUCAAAACACUUCCUACACUACAGACGAAGAAUGCGCAUGAACUUAGUUGCAGUUGUUUCAUCACCUUAUUGAAGUUCGGUUGUUACAAUUAAUUAAUGGAGUAAACUCAGUCUGGUGCAAUGUUUGAACAAAAUAGACUGUGCCAGCAGUCUUGGUUGUGGGCCAGACCCAUUAUAGAGCAAGGACCUAGUCUUGCUCUAUGGCCAGACUAGGCCAGACAUUAUGUUAUGUGUGCAGGAAUAUUUUUUUACAUACAGCAGGUGGGGAGUCGGGGGGAUCUUUGCAUUUUAAAGGAGAGUUAAGCUUUGCAGCUUGUGCUGUUCGCACUUGUACAUUCUGUGUAUGUAGUGUCACAGCCUGUACAGUUUGACAACAUUUUUAUGGAAUCCUUUCAGUUCAUAUUCACGUUACACAUGACCAACCUCAAGAUACAUAGAACACAAUGUACAGAUUUUUUUAGUAUUCAUCCAACACAUUAGCAUCCCAGGUGUUUCACUUAAGGCAUGAAUGGGGCUUGAUUGUCUAGUUGAUUGUCCUUGUGUGUGCUGAUAAUGCCAUGUAACUUUAGCCAAACAUAUUUUUGUAUGCAUGAACAAUGUGUAACUUAAUCAAUUUCAUACUCAACUGUGAUGCAUAAAGAAAAACUUCUUCAAACUUGGGAUGAGAAGUUAAAAAUCUUGCAGAGAUAAUAUUGGCGUAGAAAGAAAAAAAAUUAAGCAGUUUACCAGAACCAUCCAAAAUAUCAUGCAGUAUACACUGUAUGGACAAAUUCUGGCAUGCCAUCAAUUCUAUCACGAAGCAUCGUGUUUAUUACUUGGAUAAUCUGUCAUAGGGUAACUGUUUUGUACAAUAGCAUGCACAAUGGUUUCUCCAUUGAAGGGGGCCUCGUGUGUGUAUAGUGAUCAUGUACCUGCAUUGAUGUAUAGAUCAUUUACACUGAGGUGUGUGCUUUUGUGUAAAACACACCUCAGUGAUGGCUGCUGAAUGCAAUCAGUCUAUUGCCUGUGACAUGUUUUCAGAGUUUUGCUCAGCACAUAACUCGUGCUUAGCGUCUACAUGGAAAUUGGCAAGGCUAAAAUCGGUUUGAACUUAAAGAAUGUAUAGAGAAACUUCAAAGUUCAAAUUAGCACCGAAUUGGGAUUAAAGAAAAGGUUGCCAGUGUAUAAAUGUCAUUGGCUUUAAGUGGCUGUAAAUUUGAAAUUCAUCUAUCAUCAGAUCAUGCGUAUACCCUGUUAAACAUGUAUAUUCUAUGUGAACUACAAAGAAUCGUCAUAUACAAUGGUCAUAUUUUUAAGAGCUUUUAGUGAUCAUACUUUACAGUGUUAAUGUGUAUGUAUGGGUGAUGUUUCCUACAGUGCCAUAGGUAGGUGUUUAACUGCAAACUUUCAUAUAAGUUGCAGACCUUGUUGACAAAUCACUGGGGAGGUUUUUUUUUUUUAAUUGGUAACAACAAUGGUAUCAUUGAUUUAGUUUGAAAAUUUGUAAUUAAAAUCGAAUAAACAAGUACACAUGAGCUGGAGUUGA